UACGUAGGGACCAAGCGUUGUUCGGAUUUACUGGGCGUAAAGGGCGCGUAGGCGGCAUGACAAGUCACUUGUGAAAUCUCCGGGCUUAACUCGGAACGGCCAAGUGAUACUGUCACGCUAGAGUGCAGAAGGGGCAAUCGGAAUUCUUGGUGUAGCGGUGAAAUGCGUAGAUAUCAAGAGGAACACCUGAGGUGAAGACGGGUUGCUGGGCUGACACUGACGCUGAGGCGCGAAAGCCAGGGGAGCAAAC
rnacentral:rRNA from 1 species